AAACAUAACCUUUAGCUAAAACAAAUAUUAAAGGCAACGCCUGCCCAGUGAACAAUUAAACGGCCGCGGUACCCUAACCGUGCAAAGGUAGCGUAAUCAUUUGUCUAUUAAUUGUAGACCAGUAUGAAAGGCAAAAUGAGGGUCUAUCUGUCUCUUAUAAUGAAUCAAUUAAACUGAUCUCCUAGUAAAAAAGCUAGAAUUCUAUCAUAAGACCAGAAGACCCUGUGAAGCUUAAACUAAAAUAUUAAACCACUUAAUAUAUACUUUUGGUUGGGGCGACCUUGGAAAAAAAAAGAACUUCCAAACACAUGACUAUAACUCAUACCAAACAUAGGCCCACAAGCCUUUUAUUAUGACCCAGUAUAACUGAUAACUGAACAAAGUUACUCCAGGGAUAACAGCGCCAUCUUCUUCAAGAGUCCAUAUCAAAAAGAAGGUUUACGACCUCGAUGUUGGAUCAGGACAUCCUAAUGGUGCAGCCGCUAUUAAAGGUUCGUUUGUUCAACGAUUAACAGUCCUACGUGAUCUGA
rnacentral:rRNA from 1 species